rnacentral:tRNA from 1 species
AUGUGGCUUAGUGGUAGAGUGCUUGCCUCGCAUGCAUGAAAUCCUAGGUUUGAUUCCUCAGCAU